UGAGGAAUAUUGGACAAUGGGUGAAAGCCUGAUCCAGCCAUCCCGCGUGAAGGACGACUGCCCUAUGGGUUGUAAACUUCUUUUGUAUAGGGAUAAACCUACCCUCGUGAGGGUAGCUGAAGGUACUAUACGAAUAAGCACCGGCUAACUCCGUGCCAGCAGCCGCGGUAAUACGGAGGGUGCAAGCGUUAUCCGGAUUUAUUGGGUUUAAAGGGUCCGUAGGCGGACUUAUAAGUCAGUGGUGAAAGCCUGUCGCUUAACGAUAGAACUGCCAUUGAUACUGUAAGUCUUGAGUAUAUUUGAGGUAGCUGGAAUAAGUAGUGUAGCGGUGAAAUGCAUAGAUAUUACUUAGAACACCAAUUGCGAAGGCAGGUUACCAAGAUAUAACUGACGCUGAGGGACGAAAGCGUGGGGAGCGAACA
rnacentral:rRNA from 1 species